rnacentral:misc_RNA from 1 species
ACUUUAAUAUCCGCAACGCUUAAUGAUAGGCCAAUUUUGCAACUGCACUGGAGAAGAAAAAACGAAGAAAGUAGAAGUUGUUGAGAUGGCAAACGCAGAUCAAAACAUUAAUUCCGAUGAUGAUUCGGCAGUAAAAGGUUUGAGAAACUUUCUUUUAGAGUAUUUUUAUUUAUUUUACCUUAACUUUUUGUCUUUUAAUAUUUUUUUAUCAACUUUUCUUUGUUUUAUAUUUUGCCUUUAUAAAAGAUAAGGCGAAAGUUUCAUUUUUAAUUAUAUACAUAUAUAUAUAUAUAUAUAUAUAUAUAUAUAUAUAUAUAUAUACUGAAUAUACUGUAUUUAUAUUAGUACAAAUAUUAUAUAUACAGUAUAUAUAUAUAUAUAUAUAUAUAUAUAUAUAUAUAUUUGUAUUUAAGAAUUCAUUCUUUCCUUUAUGCCCUUUUUUUCUUUAUUGCAAAAACAAAAAGAGACGGAAAACUUUUUUCAACCUUUCCUUUUCUUUUCUAUUGCUUUUUCUUUCUUUUCCAUUUUCUAUUAUUUCAUUUAAAUCAAUCUAUGAGCUAAAGGAGAUGAUAAUAAGAAAGUGAGCUUUGCAUAUAAAUAUAUACUGUAUAUCUCUAUAUAUAUUGAUGAAAUCAUAUUGUCUCUCAAAUUAUUCUUGAAUGUAUCAUAAACAAGAUUUUAAUGAUUUUAAAGUUAAUUUCAUUUCAAUUUCCUCUCCUCUACUUUAAUAUCGUUAUUGUUUGAUCCGAGUUUUUAUCCUAGUCUAUAAUUUUUUUAAAGAGUAAUUAGGUUUCGGAAAUUAGAAUUAUUUGUGUUUAAUUUCAAAAAUCUUCAUGAAAAAAUGAACUAGAGAAAUUCUUUAGUUUGUCUCUUAAAGGAGAGAGAGAGAGAGAGAGAAAAGUUAGACACUCCGAUAGUUAUUUACAUAGAUACACAUAUCAAAAAAAGUAAAGGAGAGAAAAAAGAAGGAAAAUCAGUUGGACUAAGGAAGAAAAAAGUCUUAAAACAAUAUAAGACAAAUAUAAGAAAAACACAAGAAAAGGGAAUUAAGGAGAUAUCUAAAAAGAGAGAGAGAGAGGAAAUAAAAAAAAAUAGUGACCGGAGAGCGAGAACAGGAGACAAAGGUUAUGAGAAAGGAUUAGAUUAACAAGGAAAAUUAUUUAAACUUUUUCUAAUCGAUCUUUUAUUCAGAAGCUUUAAUGAAAAACACGAUUUCCAUGAAAUUUGAUGCAAUUUUAAGCUCGAUUUGAUAUUGAUUUUUUCGAUUUAUAAUUUUUUUAAUAUAGUUCUUUCUUUGGCUCUUGCGUGCAGUUUGCGGCCUGAAAUAAAAGAGUAACAAAAACUACCAUUUAUUAUUUUAAUAAUGGAUUAGAGCAAGGUCAAGUCCAAGUUGAAUUUACAGAAAAACUCGUCGCCAACCCGGACCCAGAGUUGGAAGGAGAAGAGGUUGAAGAAAGAGAAACAUGGGGCAAAAAGGUGGACUUUCUUCUCUCAGUAAUCGGCUUUGCGGUCGACUUGGCGAACGUUUGGCGGUUUCCAUAUUUGUGCUACAAGAAUGGCGGAGGUAAAUGAUUAUUUGUCACGAUAUUUCGUCUCGAUAUAAUUGGUAAAGGUUCGAUACGGUCGUGAUUUUCUUUAUAGCUUACCAACGUGAUUGAAGGGUUGACUGAUUAAGUACUAUGAUAAAUGAAUAUUUGAUAGGUUGUUGUUCUAGAAUCGGCGGGUAGGGAAGCUAAACUUACAGCAUCAGCUUAGAAAACCAAAUAAACAAAGUCGAAUAAUAGGAAACCCUCUUUAUAAGACUUAUUCAAUUUACUUUCAACACUUUUACUUAUAUUAUCUCAAAAAAUGUUUCCGGUCGGCAAAGUAUGAAUGUAAAACUUGUUAAUCUCACACCAGGUGCUUUUCUGAUACCCUACGUUCUCAUGCUUUUACUCGGAGGCAUACCAUUGUUCUACAUGGAAUUGGCAUUGGGCCAAUUCAAUAGGAAAGGGGCCAUUACAUGCUGGGGUCGUAUAUGUCCGCUUUUCAAAGGAGUCGGCUAUUCUGUCGUUCUGAUUGCCUUCUACACCGACUUCUUUUACAAUGUAAUCAUUGCUUGGUCUCUAUACUAUUUUGUUUCGUCCUUUACCGGAACUCUGCCCUGGGUUCGGUGUAACAAUACCUGGAAUACUAAAAAUUGUUACGAUGGCCAUUUGAUUGGAGAGGAAAGUGGCAAUAUUACGACCACAUCACCUUUAUAUAGUACUACUCUUUUUAAUCAGUCCAAUCUGUUAAAUCAGACCGAAGUGCCGCGUAUUUCCCCGGCUCAGGAAUUUUUCGAUCGGCAUAUGUUGGAACUUGACAAGGCUGAUGGUAUCACAAAUCUCGGAAACAUAAAAUGGGAAUUAGCUCUCUGCUUACUAGCGGUUUACGUCAUUUGUUAUUUUUCUCUAUGGAAAGGUAUUUCAACAUCUGGAAAAGUUGUAUGGUUUACAGCAAUAUUUCCAUAUUUCGUUCUCUUAACCUUAUUAAUUAGAGGUAUCACUCUACCUGGAGCUGGAGAUGGAAUAAGGUACUAUCUAACACCGGAUUUUUCACGGUUGAAAAGUUCAGUCGUCUGGGUUGAUGCAGCAACGCAAGUAUUCUUUUCGUUAGGACCUGGAUUCGGUGUCCUCUUGGCAUUUGCUUCUUAUAAUAAAUUCCAUAAUAACGUCUACGCUGAUGCUCUGGCAACAAGCAUUAUCAAUUGCGCUACAAGCUUCUUAUCGGGGUUUGUCAUAUUUUCUGUUCUAGGCUAUAUGGCUCAGAAAACUCAUAAGCCCAUUAGUAAAGUAGCCACCGAAGGACCUGGCUUAGUAUUCGUCGUUUAUCCAGAGGCAAUAGCAACGUUACCCGGAUCAACAUUUUGGUCCUUAAUCUUCUUCCUUAUGCUUCUAACGCUGGGAUUAGAUAGUUCGUUUGGAGGAUCCGAAGCUAUAAUUACGGCGAUCAGCGACGAAUAUCCUAUAUUAAAAAAGCAUAGGGAAAAAUUUGUUGCUGGACUUUUCGUGUUUUACUUUGUCAUUGGUUUACCUAGCUGUACGCAGGGGGGAGCUUAUAUGGUAACACUUUUUGAUAAAUAUGCUGCUGGCUACUCAAUUCUAUUCGCUGUAUUCUUUGAAUCCUUGGCCGUCUCCUGGUUCUACGGAGUCGAGCGUUUCUCCGACGAUAUUAAAGAUAUGUUAGGAUUUAGGCCUGGUAUUUAUUGGAGAGUUUGCUGGAAGUUUAUUGCUCCAGUGUUUAUUAUGUGUAUCAUGGUUUUUGGAUUUGUUAUGUACGAGCCUCUAGCCUACGAUAAGAAUUACAUAUACCCUGGAUGGGCUAACGGAGUAGGAUGGUGUCUAGCACUUUCAUCUAUAUUAUGUAUGCCGGUAGUAGCAUCGGUAAGGAUGCUUAUAACAAAGGGAAGUUUUAUUGAGAGAAUUCAAACGCUCAUAACUCCAUGGAGAGAUUCAAGAAAACUAAGAGUAGUUACAGAUAUGCAGAAUUUGAGGGAAAAUAAUUUUAAGAUGGGUGAUUCUGUUUAGAAAAUGAACGAGAUGAAAAAGAGAAAAACAGAGAAAAAUGAAAAAAAAAAUCUUAUAAACAUAUAAAGAAGAGAAAAUACAUAUAGAGAAAGUAUAUUACAAUAUAUAUACACAGUGUUUUAACCACUUUGCAAUAGAGUCAAUUUGCAUACUGUAUGGUAAUUACAUAUAUAUAUAUAUAUAUACAUAUAUAUACAUACUGUAUAUAUUUGAAUAUAUCAAAUAUGUACUGUAGACAACCAUAUUUCAACAUAUAUACUUAUAACUGUAUAUAUGAUAUUUAUAUAUAUUUAUAUAGUAUAUUGCAUGCAUUUUUGUAUACUCAUAGAUAGAUAUAUAGACGUAUGUAUAAAUAUUUAUUUUAAGUAUCUACAAUAUGUCUGUAUGUUUAUACAGUUUAAUAGUCUGUUGCAUGGUGAACUGGUGUAUAUAUACGGUAUAUAUUAUAAGUAAAUAAACGUCUAAGGCAUGUAGGUAAAUGUACGAAGACUGUAUGAAUAGGAAUAGGGCAUUUUAUAUACAAAUAAUGUGUAUAUUUUCUAUGAAAUACGAGAAUUAAAACAUUUUGCUUUUAGUAUUUGAUAGUUGACGAAUGUUGAAAUAUCUAUGGUUUACAUUCAUUAUUAUAUAUAUAUAUAUA